CAGGCUUAACACAUGCAAGUCGAGGGGCAGCAUGGUCUUAGCUUGCUAAGGCCGAUGGCGACCGGCGCACGGGUGAGUAACACGUAUCCAACCUGCCGUCUACUCUUGGACAGCCUUCUGAAAGGAAGAUUAAUACAAGAUGGCAUCAUGAGUCCGCAUGUUCACAUGAUUAAAGGUAUUCCGGUAGACGAUGGGGAUGCGUUCCAUUAGAUAGUAGGCGGGGUAACGGCCCACCUAGUCUUCGAUGGAUAGGGGUUCUGAGAGGAAGGUCCCCCACAUUGGAACUGAGACACGGUCCAAACUCCUACGGGAGGCUGCAGUGAGGAAUAUUGGUCAAUGGGCGCAGGCCUGAACCAGCCAAGUAGCGUGAAGGAUGACUGCCCUAUGGGUUGUAAACUUCUUUUAUAAAGGAAUAAAGUCGGGUAUGGAUACCCGUUUGCAUGUACUUUAUGAAUAAGGAUCGGCUAACUCCGUGCCAGCAGCCGCGGUAAUACGGAGGAUCCGAGCGUUAUCCGGAUUUAUUGGGUUUAAAGGGAGCGUGGAUGGAUGUUUAAGUCAGUUGUGAAAGUUUGCAGCUCAACCGUAAAAUUACAGUUGAUACUGGAUAUCUUGAGUGCAGUUGAGGCAGGCGGAAUUCGUGGUGUAGCGGUGAAAUGCUUAGAUAUCACGAAGAACUCCGAUUGCGAAGGCAGCCUGCUAAGCUGCAACUGACAUUGAGGCUCGAAAGUGUGGGUAUCAAACAGGAUUAGAUACCCUGGUAGUCCACACGGUAAAACGAUGAAUACUCCGCUGUUUGCGAUAUACAGCAAGCGGCCAAGCGAAAGCGUUAAGUAUUCCACCUGGGGAGUACGCCGGCAACGGUGAAACUCAAAGGAAUUGACGGGGGCCCGCACAAGCGGAGGAACAUGUGGUUUAAUUCGAUGAUACGCGAGGAACCUUACCCGGGCUUAAAUUGCAGAUGAAUUACGGUGAAAGCCGUAAGCCGCAAGGCAUCUGUGAGGGUGCUGCAUGGUUGUCGUCAGCUCGUGCCGUGAGGUGUCGGCUUAAGUGCCAUAACGAGCGCAACCCUUGUUGUCAGUUACUAACAGGUUCCGCUGAGGACUCUGACAAGACUGCCAUCGUAAGAUGUGAGGAAGGUGGGGAUGACGUCAAAUCAGCACGGCCCUUACGUCCGGGGCUACACACGUGUUACAAUGGGGGGUACAGAGGGCCGCUACCACGCGAGUGGAUGCCAAUCCCCAAAACCUCUCUCAGUUCGGACUGGAGUCUGCAACCCGACUCCACGAAGCUGGAUUCGCUAGUAAUCGCGCAUCAGCCAUGGCGCGGUGAAUACGUUCCCGGGCCUUGUACACACCGCCCGUCAAGCCAUGAAAGCCGGGGGCGCCUGAAGUCCGUGACCGCAAGGAUCGGCCUAGGGCGAAACUGGUGAUUGGGGCUAAG
rnacentral:rRNA from 1 species